GAAAGGAUAAAAAGAAGAAAAGGAGAAGAAAAUUUCAUUUUUUCUUUUCUUCUUCUUCUUCUCUUCCCUUCACCGCCAAGAUUUUGAAGACAUCCAAGUUCGAUUUUUUUUUCUUUUUCGUUCUUCAAUUUGCAGAGAACUUCUAAGAGAGAGUUUGGAAGAAGAAGAGAAAUUUUACUAGAAUUUUUAGGUUGAAGAAGAGGAGGAGAACUCAAGCAAAGUGUAUCAAUGGCUGAAUUUUAGUUCAUUCUGAACAUCACUGGUUUUUAAUUCGGUUUGAACUCUUUAAAAGGAAUUAAGAGGGCAGUUGGUUUUCACCCGAAAUCAGCAGGUCUCUGGUUUUUCUUGUAUUUCAGAGUGUAUCGGAGGAGUUAGAAUCUCUAUUUGAUGUGGUUGGAAAGCUUAUUCACUUUACUACAACUUUCAUGAAGAAAUGGUAAACCCAAAACGACGAAAAAGCAGUUAAAUUGUAGGGACAAGUUAAAGAGGUCGUGUGCGCGCGAUUCUGGAAGUGGUUCUGUUUUGAGGGUUAUAUGUGUUUAUGCACGGGGAAUCAGAUUUAUAUGUCUUCAGGCCGAGAAGAAUUAAACCGAGCUUAUAGACCAAGGAUCUAGCCCAAGACUGUGAGUGACAAAACCAACUUUGAAAUAUUUUCCAUAAUUGUUAUUAUGAUUGAAUGCGAUAAAUGUUUAUUUACGAAGCCAUGAAAAGUAUUUGAAUUUCAUGACUAUUUUCAAGUAUACAUUUGGAGACUAGAUUUCUUAUAGAAAUUUAUGCUAGCACGUAGAUAUUAAAUGUUUGGAAAGUAUUUAAACCACAAUAUUUUAAGCAAAGCAUGAAUUAGUAUGAAGUUUUGUUUUAAGAACUACAAUUUUCCACGAAAGAGCUGAGUAAAGUUCGAGCUUUGUCUAAAAUUUAUAAGUAGGCAUGUUUUAAUAUUUAAAGAUGAUUUAUGAAAUUUUCAUUAACUACAUGACUGAGAUCUUGAGCCUGAGGCUAGAGAUUACCGUGUGCACACUGGUUACAUUCCGUUGUUGACGUUGAGUGUACUCCGUAACAACGAUGCUGUCGUGAGUGCUGAGCGGGCUCCACUACGACAAAGAUGAUGGGAGUGCUAGGCGGGCCCCACUACAUCGUAGUGCUUGUAAACGUUGUUGUACUAGGUGUACCCUACACAACGUAGAUUCGUCAUGUUAGUUAAAAUGCUUCGAUAUACUUGAUAUGCCUUGCUAGAUUUCAAUGAUGAACAUGCUGAGUAUUUAAGGAAGCUAUUCUUACUACUACACAUUUACAUUUGCGACUUGUAUAACAGAUUUAUAUGUGUAAAGCUUUCACGUGCUCUUAUCUUUAAAUUCAUAGUUUUAAACUGAGUCACUCACUGAGCUUCAUAGCUCACCCUUUCU